UGACGGUGAAGUUCCCCUCUACCUCUCUGUGUUGCCCGCUAACACCCGCAAUCAGGAGUAGGUUCUGUACUUCAUUGUUCAGUACGCCAGCAUCCAGUUCCGCCCCUCCAGUGCUGCCCCCAGGUCAAGUGCACCAUCAGUACAGGAAGACGGUGUUCUCUACAGCACAGUUCGAUAUCAGGAAACAUGAAAACAAGGCAUCCAGAUCUCUUUUGUCACAAGCUGCAGACCAAUACUGCUUAUGCAGUAUGCAUCUGGACUUCUGAAUGUGAGAUCAUGUUCAGUGUUUGUGCUUCCCUUCUAAACAGCAAAUACUAUGUCAGGAAAACAAUCCUCAAGCAGAAACUUCAUUUGCAAGGCAUGAAUCAAACAUUUCCUUCAUUGGAUGAUUCAUUUAAGAGUAUUUACUAAAACCAGUGAAUAUAAGAUUUAAAGGCGGACAUGCAGGUGACUCAGGUCUGAAUAAGGAGAGGUAUUAUCCUUCAUAAGGGAGAUGGAUAAGGGAACAAUCUGCUCUAGUCCUCACAUUGAAGACGAGACUCUAGGACUCUUUCAGUUACUUCAUCCCCUAUACCUCCAAUGUGCAAACUCUCCUCAUGAACUCAGGUCACAUGACUGUGCCUUUGUCACAUGACCAAGAUGACUGUGGUAUUGGGUCUGCAAAGAUGUACUCAGAAUGGAUCAUUCCUUUGGCAUUCUAUCAACAUUUACAUGCAUAACAGCUCAUGUCUUCAUAUUGUACACAAAGUAUUAUCAAGAUGUUGGUGCCUGAAAGCCAUUAUCAUUGCUGAAUGUAUUUGUUGGCCAAAUGUACUGGAGAAAUGGGCUUUAUAUGUAAUUCAAAGAUUAUUAUUAUUUUUAUUAAUACUUGUAUAACAUUUACUAUUAGACAUUCUUGUGCACAUUUUGUGAUUAUAUUGUGCUUAUUACUGAGCUGAUACCAUCUAGAGUAUAAAUUCACAUAACGUGAAUUUGUUUUUCACAUUCUUAGUGUUUAUUUUUGUACUACCAAACGUUAGAAUUCAGAGCAUACCUUGAAUUUUUUAAACAAUCAUUCAAUGAAACAAACAAAAUAAACCUAUGCUUGAAGAA